UACGUAGGGUGCGAGCGUUGUCCGGAAUUAUUGGGCGUAAAGGGCUCGUAGGCGGUUUGUCACGUCGAAAGUGAAAACUCAGGGCUCAACCCUGAGCCUGCUUCCGAUACGGGCAGACUAGAGGUAUGCAGGGGAGAACGGAAUUCCCGGUGUAGCGGUGAAAUGCGCAGAUAUCGGGAGGAACACCGGUGGCGAAGGCGGUUCUCUGGGACGGUACUGACGCUGAGACGCGAAAGCGUGGGGAGCGAACAGG
rnacentral:rRNA from 1 species